AAUGCAGGCCGUCUUAUCGCUGCGGCAUAAUAUUUGCCGGAGAGGAAAGUCCGGGCAACGCAGAGCACCAUACUUCCUAACGGGAAGGGUUCCGUUUUUAACGGGAUACAGCCAGUGCCACAGAAAAUAACCGCCACCCUCAGCAAUGAGGAGGUAAGGGUGAAAAAGUGAGGUAAGAGCUCACUCGUGGUCCCGGUGACGGGCCAUUGGGGUAAACCUUAUGGGUUGAAAGACCAAAUAAACCCCACUUUCGACCGGUUUUGCCGGUGUAGACAGGGCUGCUCGUCCUGAGUUCUUCAAUGAAAUAGUGGGGAGGGUAGGUCGUUAGAACCCCGAAGUGAUUCGGGGGCUAGAUAAAUGAUAAGACUUCCGCUUCGGCGGCAGACAGAACCCGGCUUAUAGGCCUGCAUUCGUU
rnacentral:RNase_P_RNA from 1 species